AACGAACGCUGGCGGCAUGCCUAACACAUGCAAGUCGAACGAGACCUUCGGGUCUAGUGGCGCACGGGUGCGUAACGCGUGGGAAUCUGCCCUUGGGUUCGGAAUAACAGUUAGAAAUGACUGCUAAUACCGGAUAAUGUCUUCGGACCAAAGAUUUAUCGCCCAGGGAUGAGCCCGCGUAGGAUUAGCUAGUUGGUGAGGUAAAGGCUCACCAAGGCGACGAUCCUUAGCUGGUCUGAGAGGAUGAUCAGCCACACUGGGACUGAGACACGGCCCAGACUCCUACGGGAGGCAGCAGUGGGGAAUAUUGGACAAUGGGCGAAAGCCUGAUCCAGCAAUGCCGCGUGAGUGAUGAAGGCCUUAGGGUGUAAAGCUCUUUACCGGGAUGAUAAUGACAGUACCGGGAGAAUAAGCCCCGGCUAACUCCGUGCCAGUCAGCCGCGGUAAU
rnacentral:rRNA from 1 species